GGGACUAAUAUUCUAAUGACUAAAUUGUCUUUGUAUGCGGUGGUCAAUAACCAUACUUUUGUUGGAAUAAAAAAAAGGCAUUUACUAUACCCACGUAAUAAAGUUAUAUAUAUAUAUAAUAAAUCUGACUGAUUCUACGAUAAGAAUAGCAUGGCAGCUCCUUUUGCACGGAUAUUUCGUUCAUUUCAUGGCAGAUAAAUUUUUGUUGAGAAAAUGAAGGGAUUUGGAUC
rnacentral:misc_RNA from 1 species